rnacentral:rRNA from 1 species
GGGGAAUUUUGCGCAGUGGGCGAAAGCCUGACGCAGCAACGCCGCGUGGGUGAUGAAGGUCUUCGGAUCGUAAAACCCUGUCGUCAGGGACGAAGGUUUGCGAGGUAACUCUCGUAGGCUUGACGGUACCUGGAGAGGAAGCCCCGGCUAACUCUGUGCCAGCAGCCGCGGUAAUACAGAGGGGGCAAGCGUUAUUCGGAAUUAUUGGGCGUAAAGGGCGCGUAGGCGGUGAUGUAAGUGAGAUGUGUAAUCCCCGAGCUCAACUUGGGAACUGCAUCUCAGACUGCAUCGCUAGAGUGCUGGAGAGGGUGGUGGAAUUCCACGUGUAGCGGUGAAACGCGUAGAGAUGUGGAGGAACACCAGUGGCGAAGGCGGCCACCUGGACAGUAACUGACGCUGAGGCGCGAAAGUGUGGGGAGCAAAC